AACGAACGUUGGCGGCGUGCCUAAUACACGCAAGUCGAGCGAACAGAGAAGGAGCUUGCUCCUUCGACGUUAGCGGCGGACGGGUGAGUAACACGUGGGCAACCUACCUUAUAGUUUGGGAUAACUCCGGGAAACCGGGGCUAAUACCGAAUAAUCUGUUUCACCUCAUGGUGAAACACUGAAAGACGGUUUCGGCUGUCGCUAUAGGAUGGGCCCGCGGCGCAUUAGCUAGUUGGUGAGGUAACGGCUCACCAAGGCGACGAUGCGUAGCCGGCCUGAGAGGGUGAUCGGCCACACUGGGACUGAGACACGGCCCAGACUCCUACGGGAGGCAGCAGUAGGGAAUCUUCCACAAUGGGCGAAAGCCUGAUGGAGCAACGCCGCGUGAGUGAAGAAGGAUUUCGGUUCGUAAAGCUCUGUUGUAAGGGAAGAACAAGUACAGUAGUAACUGGCUGUACCUUGACGGUACCUUAUUAGAAAGCCACGGCUAACUACGUGCCAACAGCCGCCGCAGUAA
rnacentral:rRNA from 1 species